GAGGGUAUAGCUCAGUGGUAGAGUGUGUGCUUAGCAUGCCAAGGUCCUGGGUUCCAUCCCCAGUACUCCCA
rnacentral:tRNA from 1 species